rnacentral:rRNA from 1 species
AGUGAGCGCUGGCGGUAGGCCUAACACAUGCAAGUCGAACGGCAGCACAGUAAGAGCUUGCUCUUACGGGUGGCGAGUGGCGGACGGGUGAGGAAUACAUCGGAAUCUACUUUUUCGUGGGGGAUAACGUAGGGAAACUUACGCUAAUACCGCAUACGACCUACGGGUGAAAGCAGGGGAUCUUCGCACCUUGCGCGAUUGAAUGAGCCGAUGUCGGAUUAGCUAGUUGGCGGGGUAAAGGCCCACCAAGGCGACGAUCCGUAGCUGGUCUGAGAGGAUGAUCAGCCACACUAGAGCUGAGACACGGUCCAGACUCCUACGGGAGGCAGCAGUGGGGAAUAUUGGACAAUGGGCGCAAGCCUGAUCCAGCCAUACCGCGUGGGUGAAGAAGGCCUUCGGGUUGUAAAGCCCUUUUGUUGGGAAAGAAAAGCAGCAGGUUAAUACCCCGCUGUUCUGACGGUACCCAAAGAAUAAGCACCGGCUAACUUCGUG